rnacentral:rRNA from 1 species
AUGUACAUUGAACUGGAUGAGAAAAAGAAGCCAUUUACAUUAAUGCAUUGCUACAUAGAGUUUGAGAAGUAUCCAAAGUGGCAGACACGUCCGCUUCCUCAGAAGAAACAAAAGAAGACCUCGGAUGCUAGUCCGGGUACAACAUCCAACGAUGAAGACUUCGGCGCAUGCACUGAUGCUCUUGAAGAAGAGCUAAGACCUCCUGGUACGAAGCAUGACAAGAAUGAACGUUUGAGGAAAGGUAAAACUUCUGAAUCCAAUGAUAGUGGUUGCAAGUUAUCAUUAGAAAGUGUGUGGGCACAGAAGAUAGAGAAGGAUGAUAUCAAAGAGGCCACAAAAAUUGCUCGCUACGCGAGAGCUUUUGAAUUGCAAGAGAAGCAGAUUGCAUUGCAAGAGAAGGAGGAUGCACGGAAACAGUUUGAAUUAGAUGAGAAAAUCAUGCUCAUGGACACAUCUCAUAUGAGUGAUGCACAGAAGCAAUUCUACAAGAAUAAACAAGAUGAGAUCAUUGCUCGCUGCCAGAACACAUCUGGUUGA